rnacentral:rRNA from 1 species
UGGGGAAUAUUGCACAAUGGAGGGAACUCUGAUGCAGCGACGCCGCGUGAGUGAUGAAGGAAUUCGUUUCGUAAAACUCUGUUCUAUGGGAAGAAAAGGACUGUACCAUAGGAGAAAGCUCCGGCUAAAUACGUGCCAGCAGCCGCGGUAUACGUAUGGAGCGAGCGUUGUCCGGAAUUAUUGGGCGUAAAGGGUGCGCAGGCGGCUUUACAAGUUGGAUGUGAAAUAUUGUGGCUCAACCACAAACGUGCAUCCAAAACUGCAAAGCUUGAGUUAAGGAGAGGUAAGUGGAAUUCCUGGUGUAGCGGUGGAAUGCGUAGAUAUCAGGAGGAAUACCGGUGGCGAAGGCGACUUACUGGACUUAAACUGACGCUCAGGCACGAAAGCGUGGGGAGCAAACAGG